AUUGAACGCUGGCGGCAGGCCUAACACAUGCAAGUCGAACGAGUGGCGGACGGGUGAGUAAUGUAUGGGAAACUGCCUGAUGGAGGGGGAUAACUAAUGGAAACGGUUGCUAAUACCGCAUCCCAUCAGAUGUACCCAGAUGGGAUUAGCUAGUUGGUGGGGUAACGGCUCACCAAGGCGUCGAUCCCUAGCUGGUCUGAGAGGAUGACCAGCAACACUGAGACGGAGACACGGUCCAGACGCCUACGGGAGGCAGCAGUGGGGAAUAUUGCACAAUGGGCGCAAGCCUGAUGCAGCAAUGACGCGUGUAUGAAGAAGGCCUUCGGGUUGUAAAGUACUUUCAGCAGGGAGGCGUUACCCGCAGAGGAAGCACAGGCUAACUCCGUGCCAGCCGCCGCGGUAAUAC
rnacentral:rRNA from 1 species